GGGAAUGUGGCUCAGUGGUAGAGUGUUUGUCUAGCACACAUGAAGCCCUGGGUUUGAUUCCUCAGUACCA
rfam:Dipodomys ordii contig_5298, whole genome shotgun sequence.